AUGUUGGCAUCCAAAUCCACUCGAUAUAUCAUUCAACGGCAAGCUAGUGCUGCACUUGUUGAAGUUGUUAGAUCUUUGCCUUUUCCUUCUCCUCAAGCGGGAGACGAUCUAAUUUUGGUAGCGUCUCCUUCCAAUUCUUUGCAACAAGUCCUACUCCACCAAAAGAAACUAAGUAUGGAAGUUGAGUUGAAGGUAGAGGUAGAUGGUGGAUCAAAUGUGGAUAUGAGUAGUUAA